GGGGUGGUGGUCUAGUUUGGUCUAGGAUUCCAGCUUGGGGUGUUGGAGAUCGCAGGUUCGAAUCCUGCCCACCCCA
rnacentral:tRNA from 1 species